rnacentral:rRNA from 1 species
UACAGAGGUCUCAAGCGUUGUUCGGAUUCAUUGGGCGUAAAGGGUGCGUAGGUGGCGCGGUAAGGUCGGGUGUGAAAUCUCGGAGCUUAACUCCGAAAUUGCAUUCGAUACUGCCGUGCUCGAGGACUGGAGAGGAGACUGGAAUUCAUGGUGUAGCAGUGAAAUGCGUAGGAGAUCAUGAGGAAGACCAGUGGCGAAGGCGGGUCUCUGGGCCGAUACUGACGCUGAGGAGCGAAAGCGUGGGGAGCGAACAGG